AUGUCAUCUCCCUCCGGAGAGUCCACUGAUUGUGCCCAUGGUCAUCAUCGUAUUCGUGGCGGACGACGGAUCCGACGUCGCCGACAAGACGAAAGAGUCGAACCCUUGGCUCUGCAUCAGGGCCAGCAUACUGAAGCUCAUCUGCGUGGGCGUCAGCUCGGGGAUCGGCAUGUCACCCUCGAGGUACUGCAUCACCUGCCGCAUGCUAGGCCUCGCGCCGGGCAUGGGGUGCGAGCACAUCAACCCCAGCUUCAGCGCCAGGACCACCUCGCCGGCGUCGUAGUUGCCGUCGAGCCUCGCGUCGACCACCUCGAGGAGCGACUCCUUCUGCCAGUGCUCGAGCACCCAGUCCACCAGCAUGAGCCGGCUGUCGUUCAUGGCCUGCUCCACGGGCCUCCGGCCGCAGGCUACCUCGAGGAUGAAGGCGCCGAAGGCGAACACGUCGGUGAGAGGGGACGCCUUCCCCGUCCGCGCCAGCUCGGGGGCCAGGUACCCCAUGGUGCCCACCACGUGCGUCGUCUGCGGGUCGGCGCCGUGGUCGUACAGCCGCGCCAGGCCGAAGUCGCCCAGCCGCCCGUUCAUGUCGGCGUCGAGGAGCACGUUGCUGGCCUUGAUGUCCCGGUGGAUGAUGACCUGCUCGAAGUCCUCGUGGAUGUACAGGAGGCCCGACGCGACGCCCUUGAUGAUCCGGAACCUCUGCGCCCAGUCCAGCGCCGGCUUCUCCUUGCUGCCGGAGUACAGGUACUUGUCGAGGCUGCCGUUGGACAUGUAGUCGUACACCAGGAGGAGCUCCCCCUUCCGGCGGCAGUAGCCGAGCAGCUGCACGAGGUUGCGGUGCCGGAGGCGGCCGAUGGUGACCACCUCCGCCACGAACUCCUUGAUGCCCUGCCUCGACUCGUGCGACACCUUCUUCACCGCCACCUCCAGCUUCGACUUGGGGAGCGCCCCCUUGUACACCCUCCCGAAGCCGCCGAACCCCAGCAGCGUCUUGUUCUUGAACCCUUCCGUGGCGCGGAACAGGUCCUUGUACGUGAACCUGUGCGGCCCGAACUCCACCUCCCACUCCUCCCGCACCUCCGCGUACCUGGACCGCCGCCGGACGAGCAGGAUCACCACGGCCACCACGCCGAGGACGAAUGCCGCGGUGGCGAUCGGCAGGACGAUGUCCGGCACCUUAGACCGCGGCUUGGCGCCCACGAACGGCAGCUUCGGCAGGCUGCCGAUGUCGAUGGGAGGUGCAGGGCCGUCCAUGGCGAAGCUCCAGCCGAGAAGGUAGUGGCGGGACCUGACCGUGCCCGUCGACGACGAGAAGCCGGCGUACGCCGGCUCCACGAGCACCUUCGACAGGUUGCUCUUGGCUGA
rnacentral:rRNA from 1 species